AUAAAAUUAACCCGCUAGGCGCAGGCGCUGGCGAUUUUCCGAUUCUCUGCCCUAGAUAUCAUUCACUGGCAAGACGUUGCUUGGCUUCUAUAUGGGAGGUCUUCGUUCGAUGAUGUUGUCGCUCAACGGUCAUCCACUGCGGUGGUUGACUCUAAGACUUUAUCUUUCCACAAGCUUACCAAGAUACAUUAGAAGGUAAUGAUGCCCAACUUUUUGUGAGCAAAUGUUGUAAGAAUAAUGGUAAACCUUUGAUUUUUCUAUCUAAAUCAGAUACUUUUGCGUAAUAUAAAUUUUUAUUUGUGUGGAAA